UGCAGUCGAACGAUGAUCUCCAGCUUGCUGGGGGGAUUAGUGGCGAACGGGUGAGUAACACGUGAGUAACCUGCCCUUGACUCUGGGAUAAGCCUGGGAAACUGGGUCUAAUACCGGAUACGACCGCUCCACGCAUGUGGUGGUGGUGGAAAGCUUUUGCGGUUUUGGAUGGACUCGCGGCCUAUCAGCUUGUUGGUGGGGUAAUGGCCUACCAAGGCGACGACGGGUAGCCGGCCUGAGAGGGUGACCGGCCACACUGGGACUGAGACACGGCCCAGACUCCUACGGGAGGCAGCAGUGGGGAAUAUUGCACAAUGGGCGCAAGCCUGAUGCAGCGACGCCGCGUGAGGGAUGACGGCCUUCGGGUUGUAAACCUCUUUCAGUAGGGAAGAAGCGAAAGUGACGGUACCUGCAGAAGAAGCGCCGGCUAACUACGUGCCAGCAGCCGCGGUAAUACGUAGGGCGCAAGCGUUAUCCGGAAUUAUUGGGCGUAAAGAGCUCGUAGGCGGUUUGUCGCGUCUGCUGUGAAAGACCGGGGCUCAACUCCGGUUCUGCAGUGGGUACGGGCAGACUAGAGUGAUGUAGGGGAGACUGGAAUUCCUGGUGUAGCGGUGAAAUGCGCAGAUAUCAGGAGGAACACCGAUGGCGAAGGCAGGUCUCUGGGCAUUAACUGACGCUGAGGAGCGAAAGCAUGGGGAGCGAACAGGAUUAGAUACCCUGGUAGUCCAUGCCGUAAACGUUGGGCACUAGGUGUGGGGGACAUUCCACGUUUUCCGCGCCGUAGCUAACGCAUUAAGUGCCCCGCCUGGGGAGUACGGCCGCAAGGCUAAAACUCAAAGGAAUUGACGGGGGCCCGCACAAGCGGCGGAGCAUGCGGAUUAAUUCGAUGCAACGCGAAGAACCUUACCAAGGCUUGACAUGAACCGGUAACGCCUGGAAACAGGUGCCCCGCUUGCGGUCGGUUUACAGGUGGUGCAUGGUUGCCGUCAGCUCGUGUCGUGAAAUGUUGGGUUAAGUCCCGCAACGAGCGCAACCCUCGUUCUAUGUUGCC
rnacentral:rRNA from 1 species